UUAGUGAACAGCUUUGGUUUCUUGUGCUGCUUAAAUUCCAAAUAUUCUCAAGUCGGUUAGAAACGGGAGUUUAGAUACGCGGAAGGCUCCGAUCUACCGGUUUAACCCUUCGGCCAACAGCUACCCCUAGUGGCUCUGUUGCGGGAAGCAACUUAUCUUGCGUAUACAAACCUCGCCGCCGGUUUCGCCGCGGUCAACAGGUUUAACCGGCGCGGUAACUCCGAGACGAGGUCACCAACUAAGCGUUAACUCCUUUGGUUCCGGAUAACGAGCGGCUAUCCUUCCACGACCACGUGGACGACGUACCAGAACCCGAAGGCCAAAAGGAAAGGCCUCCGUUUCCCAAAGCGGAGAAAGACCGAGCCAGGGUCCAAAGCAACACAAGUUCUCCUUCCCUAUGAAGAAGCUUCCCAAUGAUUUUGUCAGAAAAAUUAGACUUACAGCGUGGUAAGUGCACACAUACAUUCUCACAGCUUAUACUGAAUUGUUCCCAAAUAUCACCACACAUAAAGAACAGAAUGAGAUAAUAUGUAUAAUAAGGAUGUCUCGGAGAUACUGCAGGCUCAGUUCCUGACCAGAGCAAUAAAGUGACUAUCCCAAUAAAGCAAGUUAUAAACUUUUUGUGUUUCCCAAUGCAUAUAGAAAUAUGUUUAUACUAUAGUCCACUGGUGGCUAAUC